UACGUAGGGGGCAAGCGUUGUCCGGAUUUAUUGGGUUUAAAGGGUGCGUAGGCGGCCUAUUAAGUCAGUGCUGAAAUCCUCCGGCUUAACCGGAGAUGUGGCAUUGAUACUGAUGGGCUAGAGUACAGAUGAGGUAGGCGGAAUUGACGGUGUAGCGGUGAAAUGCUUAGAUAUCGUCAAGAACACCUAUAGCGAAGGCAGCUUACUAGGCUGUAACUGACGCUGAGGCACGAAAGUGUGGGGAUCAAACAGG
rnacentral:rRNA from 1 species